rnacentral:lncRNA from 1 species
AUUUAGGCAACACCUGUUUGGGUGGAAUUGACAGUCAAAGGGCACAUUUAAAAAAAAUCACAUAUGUUCUUGUGUUUAUUACCUCAAUGUGAACGUUGUCGAGCGGCAAGCAAACUUGGUGAGAGGAGAAAGCCUGGAUCCACCCGCGCUUCCUGCCAGGUUUGUCCGUCCUCACCGGUCCUUUUACGCCUUCUGCUUCAUGCUUCACGGCUGAGGGAGACUGGCAAGCAGAGGAAAGUGCACCCCCAUUCCUGCAGGAGUAUUCUGUUCUGACAGCGGAGGCUUCUGGUUUUACUUGUAAUGGACACAAGGACAGAACAGACAUUCAUUUUAAAAGGUCUCAGGAAAAGCAGCGAGUGCAGCAGGAACAGGAAGACCAUCAUCCCCCGCUGUGUGCCUAACAUGGUGUGUCUGCACACAUACAUCAUCUCGGAGGAGUCGGUGUUUCUCGUGCUGCAGCACG